CUAUACAUGCAAGUUGAGCGGCAGCGCGGGGUGCUUGCACCCUGGCGGCGAGCAGCGGACGGCUGAGUAACACGUAGGAACGUACCCCAAAGUGAGGAAUAACUGCCCGAGAGGGUGGCUAAUACCGCAUAUGCUCUUAGGAGUAAAGCUUCGGCGCUUUGGGAACGGCCUGCGUCCGAUUAGCUAGUUGGUAAGGUAAUGGCUUACCAAGGCGACGAUCGGUAGCUGGUCUGAGAGGAUGAUCAGCCAGACUGGGACUGAGAACGGCCCAGACUCCUACGGGAGGCAGCAGUAGGGAAUUUUCCACAAUGGGCGAAAGCCUGAUGGAGCAAC
rnacentral:rRNA from 1 species